rnacentral:rRNA from 1 species
AUACGUAGGGGGCGAGCGUUGUCCGGAAUGAUUGGGCGUAAAGGGCGCGUAGGCGGCCCGGUAAGUCUGGAGUGAAAGUCCUGCUUUUAAGGUGGGAAUUGCUUUGGAUACUGUCGGGCUUGAGUGCAGGAGAGGUAAGUGGAAUUCCCAGUGUAGCGGUGGAAUGCGUAGAGAUUGGAGGAAGACCAGUGGCGAAGGCGACUUACUGGACUGUAACUGACGCAGAGGCGCGAAAGUGUGGGGAGCAAACAGGAUUAGAUACCCUGGUAGUCCACACUGUAAACGAUGAAUGCUAGGUGUAGGGGGUAUCGACCCCUUCUGUGCCGCAGUUAACACAAUAAGCAUUCCGCCUGGGGAGUACGGCCGCAAGGUUGAAACUCAAAGGAAUUGACGGGG